GGUAAGCAAGGAAUGACUAUUUAAGAGGAUAAAGUUAACCCAAGAUAAACUGAAAUCAAGCUUCAGAUCUGCAACAUUCCAAUCUCUCUAGAAUCAUUGAUGUUCUAUUCGUGCAAUCAGCCUUCUAGAAUGUUCAAUGGGAGGUUUAGCUCUUUCUGACACUCUUCUUCAGCUUCGUCUCAGUGUGGGCUUUCCUAGAAAAAGAUUGGAGAAAGAUCCAGCUAUAAGUGAUGCCAUUCUAAUGUGGUCUUGGGACACUUGUGUGGAGAGGAAACGAGGCAGGAAAGAACAAGCAGCCACUCCAGGCUGUGUCUUCAUGCAGGUCACCGUGGGAACACAGAGUGCUGUGGAAUUAGAAUAACACUGAAGACCACUCUUUAGAGUCAUUCCACCCUGUGUUACAAAGACCUAGGAUACCAACCAUUCAUGCCUACCAGUCACUGGAUGAGAGCUGCUGCCAGGGUACUCUAAAUUCUGACUUUCUCAUCUGAUAUGCAUCCCACUGCAGCUUUCUACCAUGAGAGGAUGUCCUCAAGUGAAGAGAUAGAUACAGAUGCUGUAAUUGUAACAUAAGGACAGGUGGGAAGAAGGUGAGGUACAAACAGUGUCUGCUGAGAGAUGCUGUUAGAACUUUCCAGAGAAACAGAACCAAUGGGAUAUAGGUUCACAAAGAAUUUUUUUUAUAAAGAACUGACUCACAUGAACACAGAGAAGUUCCCAGAACUGCAGUUGAUAGGCUGUGGAAAGCCAACGGUGAGAGUUCAGUCUAAAAGGCUGCAAGGUCGUGACCCACAAGCAUCUGGGAGCUCAGCUCAAAGAACGGUAGCAGCUGGAACAAGAGGGUCAGUAGUUCAGUGCUAUCCAGACCUUCCAUGGACAGGAUGGGGUCCACCAACAGAAUGGGGCCCACCCGUAUUGAAGAGGGCUGGCUACUUUUCCCAGAUGAUUGUGACCUCGAGCUCCUGCCGCCAUGCCUUCCCCACCAUGAUGGACUGUACCCUAGAACUGUGAGACAGACACUAAUGUAGUGACCCCAUCCAUCAAUCAGAUUCCAAAACCACUGUGAUGGUGUUAGAAAAUGGGCCUUCGUGAGAUGAAGAGUCAGACGAGACUGUACCUUUAUGAAAGAUCUCAGAGAGAAGCUCGUCAUCUGAGGAAGUCAAAAGACAGUGGGACCCAAAGCCUAAAUGAGAAGACACCUUGCCCCUGUACAUCCCAGCUUCUGAAUCAUGAGAAAUGACUUGUCUAUUAGCAUCCAACCCAUGGUAGCCUGUUACAGCAGCUCCAACAGCCCAAGGCACUGAGUGAAUGCAGUAAGCUGGCUGGUCUGUGUGGACAUGUGCUACAAAUGAAACAGUAAAUUGUUAUUGUUACA